rnacentral:rRNA from 1 species
AUUGAACGCUGGCGGCAGGCCUAACACAUGCAAGUCGAGCGAGCGGCGGACGGGUGAGUAAUGUCUGGGAAACUGCCCGAUGGAGGGGGAUAACUACUGGAAACGGUGGCUAAUACCGCAUACUGUCAGAUGUGCCCAUAUGGGAUUAGCUAGUAGGUGGGGUAAUGGCUCACCUAGGCGACGAUCCCUAGCUGGUCUGAGAGGAUGACCAGCCACACUGAAACUGAGACACGGCCCAGACUCCUACGGGAGGCAGCAGUGGGGAAGAUUGCACAAUGGGCGCAAGCCUGAUGCAGCCAUGCCGCGUGUGUGAAGAAGGCCUUCGGGUUGUAAAGCACUUUCAGCGGGGAGGCGUUACUCGCAGAAGAAGCACCGGCUAACUCCGUGCCAGCAGCCGCGGUAAUAC